rnacentral:tRNA from 1 species
ACUUAAAUAGCUUAAUAGAUUAGAGCGUGGCGUUGAAGUUGCCAAGGAGGCUUGAUAAAGAAAUUGCCUUUAAGUA